GUGGGGGAUAUUGGACAAUGGGGGAAACCCUGAUCCAGCGAUGCCGCGUGAGGGAAGAAGGUUUUCGGAUUGUAAACCUCUGUGGACAGUGACGAUAAUGACGGUAGCUGUUUAGAAAGCCACGGCUAACUACGUGCCAGCAGCCGCGGUAAUACGUAGGUGGCGAGCGUUGUCCGGAAUUACUGGGUGUAAAGGGAGUGUAGGCGGGAAGGCAAGUCAGAAGUGAAAAUUAUGGGCUUAACCCAUAACCUGCUUUUGAAACUGUUUUUCUUGAGUGAGGCAGAGGCAAGCGGAAUUCCUAGUGUAGCGGUGAAAUGCGUAGAUAUUAGGAGGAACACCAGUGGCGAAGGCGGCUUGCUGGGCCUUUACUGACGCUGAGGCUCGAAAGCGUGGGGAGCAAACAGGAUUAGAAACCCUAGUAGUCC
rnacentral:rRNA from 1 species